UAUGGCAGAUAAAGUGCAAUGGAUUUAAGCCCCAUAUAUAAAUUAAAACUUUUAUUAAAA
rnacentral:tRNA from 1 species